UACGUAGGGUGCAAGCGUUACUCGGAUUCACUGGGUUUAAAGGGUGCGUAGGUGGGCUUGUAAGUCAGUGGUGAAAUCUCCGUGCUUAACAUGGAAACUGCCAUUGAUACUAUGAGUCUUGAAUUUUCUGGAGGUCAGCGGAAUAUGUCAUGUAGCGGUGAAAUGCUUAGAUAUGACAUAGAACACCGAUUGCGAAGGCAGCUGGCUACAGGGAUAUUGACACUGAGGCACGAAAGCGUGGGGAUCAAACAGG
rnacentral:rRNA from 1 species